rnacentral:rRNA from 1 species
UACGUAGGGUGCGAGCGUUGUCCAGAAUUACUGGGCGUAAAGAGCUCGUAGGUGGUUUGUCGCGUUGUUCGUGAAAACUCACAACUCAAUUGUGGGCGUGCGGGCGAUACGGGCAGACUGGAGUACUGCAGGGGAGACUGGAAUUCCUGGUGUAGCGGUGGAAUGCGCAGAUAUCAGGAGGAACACCGGUGGCGAAGGCGGGUCUCUGGGCAGUAACUGACGCUGAGGAGCGAAAGCGUGGGGAGCGAACAGG